UACUAGCGGUCCAAGUCGCAGCCAUCAUUAUUGGGUCUAAAAUAUCCGUAGCUUGCUUAAUAAGUUCCCUGUGAAAUCUUAUAUCUUAAGUAUAAGGCGUGCAGGGAAUACUGCUAAGCUAGAGACUGGAAGACGUAGAAAGUAUGUUCAAAGUAACGGUAAAAUGUGUUAAUCUUGAACAGACUCACAAUAGCGAAGGCAUUCUACGAGGACAGUUCUGACAGUAAAGGAUGAAGGCUAGGGGCGCAAAAUGGAUUAGAUACCCAUGUAGUCCUAGCAGUAAACACUGCAUACUAAACAUUAGUACCUCUUCGAGAGGUAUUAGUGCUGAAGGGAAGCCGAAGAGUAUGCUACCUGGGAAGUAUAGCCGCAAGGCCGAAACUUAAAGGAAUUGGCGGGGAGACACUACAACAGGUGACGCGUGCGGUUCAAUUAGAUUCUACACCGUGAACCUCACCAGGAGCGACAGCAGAAUGAAGGUCAGUCUGAAGGGCUUACCUGACACGCUGAGAGGAGUUGCAUGGCCGACGUUAGCCUGUGCUGUGAAGUGACCAGUUAAAUCUGGUAACAGGCAAGACCCACGUGUAUAUUUACCAUGUGUACAAUAUACAGAUUGCCUUGGUAACAAGGAUGAAAGUGUGGGCUACGUUAGGUGAGUACAGCCUGAAUACCCUGGGCGACACGCGCGCGUCAAUGGUAGAUACAAUGAGAUGCAACUCCGAGAGGAGAAGCCAAUCCCAUAAAGUCUAUCUCAGUUCAGAUUGAGGUUUGCAACCCAACCUCAUGACGUUGGAAUCUGUAGUAAUCGUUUGUUAUCAGCGAACGGUGAAUAUGUCCCUGUCUCU
rnacentral:rRNA from 1 species